rnacentral:rRNA from 1 species
CCUACGGGAGGCAGCAGUGGGGAAUAUUGGGCAAUGGGCGCAAGCCUGACCCAGCAACGCCGCGUGAAGGAAGAAGGUUUUCGGGUCGUAAACUUCUUUUAUCAGGGACGAAGUAAGUUACGGUAACUGAUGAAUAAGUCACGGCUACCUCCGUGCCAGCAGCCGCGGUAAUACGUAGGUGGCAAGAGUUAUCCGGAUUUACUGGGUGUAAAGGGCGUGUAGGCGGGAGUGCAAGUCAGAUGUGAAAACUAUGGGCUCAACCCAUGGCCUGCAUUUGAUACUGUACUUCUUGAGUGCUGGAGAGGCAAUCGGAAUUCCGUGUGUAGCGGUGAAAUGCGUAGAUAUACGGAGGAACACCAGUGGCGAAGGCGGAUGGCUGGACAGUAACUGACGCUGAGGCGCGAAAGCGUGGGGAGCAAACAGGAUUAGAUACCCCAGUAGUC